rnacentral:rRNA from 1 species
UUUAUGGAGAGUUUGAUCCUGGCUCAGGAUGAACGCUGGCGGCGUGCCUAAUACAUGCAAGUCGAGCGAACAGAUAAGGAGCUUGCUCCUUUGACGUUAGCGGCGGACGGGUGAGUAACACGUGGGUAACCUACCUAUAAGACUGGAAUAACUCCGGGAAACCGGGGCUAAUGCCG